rnacentral:tRNA from 1 species
GGUAAAAUGGCNGAGUAAGCAUUAGACUGUAAAUCUAAAGACAGAGGUUCNAGUCCUCUUUUUACCA